rnacentral:tRNA from 1 species
GGUCCAGUGGUGGAAUUGGUAUACACGCGACACUUAAAAUGUCGUGCCGCAAGGCAUGUGAGUUCGAGUCUCACCUGGACCACCA